rnacentral:misc_RNA from 1 species
UCCGAGUUGACCCCGGCAGUCUCCUGCGAGUCCCCGCCAUUACGCGCUGGCAACACAGGACAAGGGUUGCGCUCGUUGCGGGACUUAACCCAACAUCUCACGACACGAGCUGACGACAGCCAUGCACCACCUGUAUACCGACCACAAGGGGGGCCGUAUCUCUACGGCUUUUCCCUACAUGUCAAGCCUUGGUAAGGUGGGGAUGACGUAAGUGACCUUUGC